rnacentral:rRNA from 1 species
GAUGAACGCUGGCGGCGUGCUUAACACAUGCAAGUCGAACGAUGACUUUUGUGCUUGCACAAAAUGAUUAGUGGCGAACGGGUGAGUAACACGUGAGUAACCUGCCCUUAACUUCGGGAUAAGCCUGGGAAACUGGGUCUAAUACCGGAUACGACCUCCUGACGCAUGUCAUGGGGGUGGAAAGCUUGAUGCGGUUUUGGAUGGACUCGCGGCCUAUCAGCUAGUUGGUUGGGGUAAUGGCCCACCAAGGCGACGACGGGUAGCCGGCCUGAGAGGGUGACCGGCCACACUGGGACUGAGACACGGCCCAGACUCCUACGGGAGGCAGCAGUAGGGAAUCUUCCACAAUGGACGAAAGUCUGAUGGAGCAAUGCCGCGUGAGUGAAGAAGGUUUUCGGAUCGUAAAACUCUGUUGUGAGGGAAGAACAAGUACGAGAGUAACUGCUCGUACCUUGACGGUACCUCAUUAGAAAGCCACGGCUAACUACGUGCCAGCAGCCGCGGUAAUACGUAGGUGGCAAGCGUUGUCCGGAAUUAUUGGGCGUAAAGAGCUCGUAGGCGGUUUGUCGCGUCUGCUGUGAAAGCCCGGGGCUCAACCCCGGGUCUGCAGUGGGUACGGGCAGACUAGAGUGCAGUAGGGGAGACUGGAAUUCCUGGUGUAGCGGUGAAAUGCGCAGAUAUCAGGAGGAACACCGAUGGCGAAGGCAGGUCUCUGGGCUGUAACUGACGCUGAGGAGCGAAAGCAUGGGGAGCGAACAGGAUUAGAUACCCUGGUAGUCC